CGGUUGAUCCUGCCGGACCUGACUGCUAUCGGAUUGAUACUAAGCCAUGCGAGUCUUUGCAGUAAUGCAAGGCAGACGGCUCAGUAACACGUAGUCAACUUACCCUAUGGACGAGGAUAAUCUCGGGAAACUGAGCAUAAUACUCGAUAGAUCAUAAUGCCUGGAAUGGUUUAUGGUUGAAAUGAUUCGUCGCCAUAGGAUGGGACUGCGGCCUAUCAGCUUGUUGGUGAGGUAAUGGCCCACCAAGGCGAUUACAGGUACGGGCUCUGAGAGGAGAAGCCCGGAGAUGGGUACUGAGACAAGGACCCAGGCCCUAUGGGGCGCAGCAGGCGAGAAAACUUUGCAAUGUGCGAAAGCACGACAAGGUUAAUCCGAGUGAUUUCUGCUAAAGAAAUCUUUUGCAAGUCAUAAAACCACUAGUGAAUAAGGGGUGGGCAAGUUCUGGUGUCAGCCGCCGCGGUAAAACCAGCACCUCAAGUGGUCAGGAGGAUUAUUGGGCCUAAAGCAUCCGUAGCCGGCUCUGUAAGUUUUCGGUUAAAUCCAUGUGCUCAACACAUGGGCUGCCGAAAAUACUGCAUAGCUAGGGAGUGGGAGAGGUAGACGGUACUCGGUAGGAAGGGGUAAAAUCCUUUGAUCUAUCGAUGACCACCUGUGGCGAAGGCGGUCUACCAGAACACGUUCGACGGUGAGGGAUGAAAGCUGGGGGAGCAAACCGGAUUAGAUACCCGGGUAGUCCCAGCUGUAAACGAUGCAGACUCGAUGAUGCAUUGGCAUAUAGCCAGUGCAGUGUCGCAGGAAGCCAUUAAGUCUGCCGCCUGGGAAGUACGUACGCAAGUAUGAAACUUAAAGGAAUUGGCGGGGGAGCACCACAAGGGGUGAAGCCUGCGGUUCAAUUGGAUUCAACGCCGGG
rnacentral:rRNA from 1 species